rnacentral:rRNA from 1 species
AACGAACGCUGGCGGCAUGCCUAACACAUGCAAGUCGAACGAGAUCUUCGGGUCUAGUGGCGCACGGGUGCGUAACGCGUGGGAAUCUGCCCUUUGGUUCGGAAUAACAGUUGGAAACGACUGCUAAUACCGGAUGAUGACGAAAGUCCAAAGAUUUAUCGCCAGAGGAUGAGCCCGCGUAGGAUUAGCUAGUUGGUGUGGUAAAGGCGCACCAAGGCGACGAUCCUUAGCUGGUCUGAGAGGAUGAUCAGCCACACUGGGACAGAGACACGGCCCAGACUCAUACGGGGGGCAGCAGUGGGGAAUAUUGGACAAUGGGCGAAAGCCUGAUCCAGCAUUGCCGCGUGAGUGAUGAAGGCCUUAGGGUUGUAAAGCUCUUUUACCCGGGAUGAUAAUGACAGUACCGGGAGGAUAAGCUCCGGCUAACUCCGUGCCAGCAGCCGCCGUAAUAC